AGCGGUGUUCGGAAUUAUUGGGCGUAAAGGGUGCGUAGGCGGUGCGGUAAGUCUGUUGUGAAAUCUCCGGGCUCAACUCGGAGUCUGCAUCAGAAACUGCCGUGCUGGAGUGUGGGAGAGGUGAGUGGAAUUCCCGGUGUAGCGGUGAAAUGCGUAGAGAUCGGGAGGAACACCUGCGGCGAAGGCGGGUCUCUGGGCCGUAACUGACGCUGAGGAGCGAAAGCGUGGGGAGCGAACAGG
rnacentral:rRNA from 1 species